rfam:Schistosoma mansoni strain Puerto Rico chromosome 1, complete genome
GUACUGAUGAGGAGUCUUACAAUAGGACGAAACGGCCUUCCAGUGC